UUCGAUAGGUCGGUCUGAGUUCACUUAGUUCGAUAGGUCGGUCUGAGUUCACUUAGUUCGAUAGGUUGGUCUUAGUUCAUUUAGUUCGAAAGUUCGCUUAUCGAAUAAGCUGAUUAAUUUUCGCAUACAUUUAAAACUACGGUUUACAAGUUUGUGCGUAUCUAUGGCUUCAAAACGAAAGCAUAGCAAAGUUUGGAAUUGGAAGAUGGAGUAUAGAGAACAAAAUAUCUGCUGUGGUUUCCGAUAAUGCUGCAAAUAUUGUCAAUGCCAUUAAAACAGGAAAUUGGCCACAUAUACCAUGUUUUGCACAUAGCUUGAACCUAAUUGUGCAAAAAGGACUCCGCGAAAUCAGCGUUGUACAAAACAAAGUCAAACUCAUUGUGGAGUUUUUCAAUCGUAGCACUUUCGGCCUUAAGAAGCUGAAGUCAACUCAAACCCAAUUGAACUUGCCCGAUCUCAAAUUGAUUCAAGAUGUGUCAACUCGUUGGAAUUCAACUUUUAAAAUGCUAGAAAGGCUUGUUGUGUUGAAAGAUGCUCUUAUAUUAACACUUUCUACUCUGCGUUCUGAAUUAAACUUAUCUCAGAAUGAGUGGGCGAUAGAAGAAGAGUUACUGCCUAUAUUAAAACCAUUCAUGGAGGUAACAGAAGAAAUAUCAGCAGAAAAGAAUGUAACCCUUUCAAAGGUUAUAGUUCUUGCGAUUUUGCUACAGAACUGUUUGAAUAACAAAACGCCUAAGGAUAAAUGUGUUGCUGCACUUGUGGCAGUUCUAAAAGCUGAGAUGAAUCGACGAUUUUGCAAGCUGGAAAGUAACGAACUCUACGCAGAGAGUAACAUUUUAGAUCCUCGAUUUAAAGGUCGUUGGUUCAAGUCAAAAGAAGAAUACGAAAAAGCUGUUUGUAAUCUUAAAAGGAAAGUAACUCCAAUUCGUCUCAACAGCGAAAAUUAUGAAUUCGAAUCACCUGCGUUUGAAACUAAUUCAGCCAAUCAGAGUUCGGUUUGGUGUGAUUUUGACAGUGAGUUCAAGAACACGACAAAGGCUGCAAACACUACCGGUUCUGCCGAGAAAGAGAUGGAAAAAUACCUCGAAGAGGAAUUUAUACCGAGGACUGCUGACCCUUUGGUUUGGUGGGAACAAAGAAAGAAAUUGUAUCCGCAUCUAUAUUCUUACAGCCUUAAGCGACUAUGCCUUAUGGCUACAUCAGUUCCUUGCGAACGCCUAUUUUCAAGUGCUGGGGAAAUCAUCCGAAAAAGACGGAUGCUACUAAAACCUAAUAAAGUGGAAAAUCUAAUGUUCCUUCAUAGCAACAUGUAGAUGGAUCACAGAAAUCAAAUAAAUGCAUUAAAAUUACUAUAUUAUCUGUUUGUAAACUCUUUAUUAUUUCUUAUUAUUAUUAUGUAUAAGUGUUUUUGACAUAAAUUGAAUAAAUAAUAUUAAUUUUCAAUGACAGCAUUGUAUGAAAUAAA